GACUCGAGCUAUUUUGUUUGUCCACAACCACAAGGCUAUAUAUCCCAUCUGUUUCUGUUUUUGUUUGAAGAAAACCUCAGAGAUGAUGAUAGGAACGCAGUGCUUCUCCAUUCGAUCAAAGCUUUGCAUUUGCAUGUCCAUGUUUUACACCAUCGCCUCUGUUUAUUUAUUUUUCCAAUGAAUUAUUUUCUCACUCUUUGAGUUUGAGGCAUCUUUUCUUUUCCUCUUUUCAGGUUUUGUUUCAUCUUCAAAAGAAAAUCACAGUCAGUGUUUUUGUUAUAUAUUAGGUGAGGCCAAUGAUGGUUUAAACAUAUAUUUUGCCUACAUCGCUUGAUUAUCUCAUUUGGAUGAGAUAAUGAUGAACUGAAGUAUAUAUGAGGCCUCUUUGGGCUUUGGCCCCCUAUUCUACCAAAAAAAAGUACAUAUGAGGCCUCGUCUCGUUUAAGUUUCAACGUGCACAGAGUUUUCAUGAUUUUUUACACGGUUGAGGAUGCGUCUGUUGACUAGUCUCGCAGUUCUUGUGAUGUCUCUUCCUCCAAGGAUGGGUGUUUCUUUGCAGAUUGUCAGAUUGAAGUUGGUGGGAUAGUCUUUCUCGCACCCGAUGCCUACUCCAGAUGAGAGUCUGAUGGUUGCCGCCAUUCCAAAUGUUGCAGGUGGCUUACAUUUCCGAUCCUGCUUCGUUGAAAUUUUGGUGGUUUUCUGGUGUCUACACAUAGCCGGAGCAGUAGUUGGGACCGUACAUCAGUUUGGAGAAGUUAUUUCCAGUUUGGCGGUAACUACUGAAAAGUUCAGAAGAAUUGUAAAGAGAACUCAUAGAAACUGAUUUUCUUAUUUCUCUUAUUAACUGGUAAUUACAUCGUUACAGUGCUUAUAUAUGUGCACCUACAGCAUAACCACUUCUUAUCAACCUAAGGGGUGGCAAUUUCAGGUACAAUCCGUUACACGAUU